UUCUUCACUUCUCUCCUUCCAAGCUCUAUACCAGUUUACAUUCCUUGUUUACACAAUUCUGAUUUCGUUGGAGGUAGCAGUAUGUUCAGUGAAAAAUACAUUUCCCCACCUUACUUGCCAUGUGACACAGUUUGAGUCAAUGAGAUGCGUGGGACUUCCAGAAAACGCCUUAUAAGGGAUGAAGAUUCAACUGGUCCUUUGACCUUAUUCUUCCUGUUUGGAGUUAGGACUUGAUGUUGGAGAUGGGGCAGCCAUCUUCUGCCCAUGAGGGAAGAAGUGUGUGCUAAGGAAGGCUGCGUAGAGGGAUUAAAAGAGCUCAGGUGGCUGAUGACAUUUGGACUACCUUCCUUCUGACUUUUCAUUACGUGAGAAAAAUAACCACCCCCACCUCUACAAAUUGUGCACCCAGCUCGAAGCCCAGUGUGUGGUAGGCCCUCAAUAAAUGCCUGCGGAAUGACCUCACCUGGAGCCUGGCCUGCACCGCCUGGGGGAGUAGUCUCAGCAUCUGCCAUGGCCAUCCGGGUGGCUGUUUUAAUUGGGCAGCACAUUCCUGAAGAGCCACCCAUCACUUCUCACCUGUGCCUGGCUUCCAAGGCAAGAAUACUGGAGCGGAUUGCCAUUUCCUUCUCCAGGGGAUCUUCCGGACCCAGGGAUGGAACACACAUCUCCUGCAUUGCAGGUGUAGAAGGUAACUCCAUGAUGACCAGACUGUACCCAGGUUAUGAGCUGCCAUAAUUCUAAGAACUGACCGCAAAGACAUGGGAACAAACUGACCCCGGAACUGAAGAUUAACUGUACCUAAAACAAUCAAGAUGAUGCUGGUCUGCAGACCACUGAUGACCAAUUUAAAGAUGACUCUUAGAGAUGACUGUGCUUUUUCUGCACACAGCCCCCCACCCCACCCUGUCUAUAAAAGCUCUCACCCCCUGCUUGUUGGGGGCAGUGGCAGGGGGGCAGUCGGCCUUUGGACAGACGUCUACAACCUUCCCCUUGCCCAACCCCCAGUUGCCAGCAUCUGAAAUAAAGCAAACUGUCCUUUGC
ensembl:lncRNA